UCCCUGUUGCCAGGGCAGUCUAGCUAGAAAAAUACAACUAACUAUAAGGGUUGCGCUCGUUGAAGGACUUAACCUAACAUCUCACGACACGAGCUGACGACGGCCAUGCAACACCUGUCACUUGGUUCCAAAGGCACUCUCUCCUUUCGGAGAAAUUCCAAGGAUGUCAAGCCUGGGUAAGGUUCUUCGCUUACCAUCGAAUUAAACAACACGCUCCACCGCUUGUGCGGGUCCCCGUCAAUUCCUUUAUGUUUUAGCCUUGCGGCCGUACUCCCCAGGCGGGAUGCUUAAUGCGUUAGCUUCGGCACGGAAGGGGUCGAUGUCCCCCCACACCUAGUGCCCAUCGUUUACAGCGUGGACUAC
rnacentral:misc_RNA from 1 species